UUAGUCAAAAUGCCAGGGAAGAAAAACACAAACUAUGCUUGUGAGAAAAGUUAAUUUACAGAACGCACUGGCUAGUUCUGUGUCAAGUUGACAGCAGCUAGAGUCAUUCUGGAAGAGAGAACUUCAGCUGGAAAAAUGUCCCCAUGAGGUCUGCCUGUGGGCCUCGUUCUGCUCUGUUUGGCUGUGCUCGUGUGUUAACAGUCGCACUAUCAAUCUCAUGGAUCCUCUGUUUCUCACAUUUGCCCGACAACCCCCACUGGACCAUUGCGUGUAACAGGAGACCAGAAACAGCACAGCGCUGCCGUAAAACGGUGGCUCCAAGCCACAUUCAACAGGUUCAAACCAAGGCAUCACUACCUAGAAGUUCUGUGACUGUCCCCAAUGUGUUCAGUUUCUCCGUACCACUGGUGCCCUUCUCUGUAGAAUACAGAGCAGUGAAGCUCGCGCUAGAGAGCUGUUGUGAAGAUUAAAUGAGUUAAUAACUUUAA